GAGAGAGAGAGAGAGAGAGAGAGAGAGAGAGAGGGACACACACACACACACACACACACACACACACACACACACACACACACACACACACACACACACACACACACGGAUAUAUAUUUCUUAAAGAUGUACGAACAUGUGUAGCUAUUAGCUGCUUACUUUUCCACAAACAAUCACUGUCCGUCCCCAACCACUGUUACUUUAUAGCAAGGGGCGGCAGCGACAUGGCACCCUUCACCAUUUCCGCCACCUCCGGUAUACUCUCCCACCUCCACUGGUACGAGCCUGCGAGGCUCUUCAGUCCUCAAACGCAUUCAACGAGACCACACACCGACACCACCACAUAACAGCCUGCUGAUCGCCGGCUGGUCACCAAGUGCAUCCGGUCUGCCACUCCCCCAUCCCAUCUUCAAGCUCCGCCUACAGCCACCACACUACACCACCAUCAGCUUCAGCUACCUCCCGUCGCCAGCCAGUCAGCCACUCCGCCUGUGACACCUCACGGACAGGAAUGAGGCAACACAGCCCUCUUCCUCCCCCGCGACGUACCUACGCGACCAGAGAAUUUGCAAUCAAUCUAUCGGGAAUAACUAACUGUCCCCGCACCCCGCACCUUGUAGUCCACUACCACCACCGCCUUGUUCGGCCUUUCCUGUAUUAUUCAAGGUGCUAGUCCACUUUUUGUCUGCCUCAGAGUGGCAACUGAGCAGCACCCACUUGCCCUUCCUUAAUUCGCUUAUGAAAAAUAUAAAACAAUUAAAUGGAUUUCCUAACUAGAUAAACAUCCAAAACAAUGAAAAAAAAAAAAAAAAAACGGUGCUCAAUCCACGACCACACGCCACUGCAGAGGCGGCAACACAUCACAAGAUUUGUCAGGUGUGCUGCGGCUGCCGCCCACGUAGCAACGCAUGACAGGGCCACGGCAGGCCAGCCCGCCUCACAUCAUGCAGCUACAAGACGGUGUACGCCCGCCACGUAACAACUUCCUUCGUGUACAUAUUUUACCCACGUAAAUGAAAAUAAUAUGUGAGCGCGGGAAGUGUUAACAUGUUAUCAGAGUAUCUGAACGAAGCCCCACCAGUGUGCUAGGCCGCUACCAGUCAGACCUGCCACACCAGGUUUCCGCACCACGGCCCUCGACAGUGGACAGUCACGCGCAGCCCUCCUACAUUCGGCACGUAAUUAGCAUCAUACCAACCCAUAACUCUCAUUAAGUGAGAAAAAAAAUGUUAAGAAAGGCAACAGUUGGUGCGCAACACCUGCGUAGUGCACCUGCAGACAUUGAUUAUCUUCCGCCCCCUAACAACAUACUGCCCUUAUUGGCACCAUUGCUUCACCUGACAUCUAGUGUUCAACACUAAUGGCGUAAUUACGUCGCUCUGGUUAUCUAAUAAAGUAUCAGCACCACGA